rnacentral:lncRNA from 1 species
UGGCCCGCUAAUUGCUCGUUUGUUCUUUUGUCUUUCUCUUUGUUUCUUUCUCUCUCCUCCUCGCUCAUCCUCCUCCGCUUUCCUUUGUUCCGAGAGGCCGGCCCCAGUGUGGUUUCGGUUGUGCUUCGGAGCAGUCGCGUAGUCACCCGUGUCCAGCUCCUGCUUUGUUCUUUGUUCCGAAAUCGGUCUUCUUCUUCUUCGGACCCCGAACGUCGCCUCACGGUUCCUGCGUUCGUCAAAGGGCCUCCUUUCGUUCGACACAUUGGGGUCACGUGAUGUUUUUGUCGGAGCAAGGAUGAGUCACCCUCGCCUCAACGGCGCCUGGCUGUUGCUGUGCGUGUUCUGUCUGGGCCCGGGCUCACUUUCAGAAGGAGCCGAGAACGGAAGAAGGUCGGAUUACCGUAACUCGAGAAGCGCAAGAGCGAGUUGCACGGCUGGCCCUCCGUUUCAAGUGACCUCCUUCAGCUGCGGAUGACCUGUGCUUAAUCAAGACCGCUUGAAUGGCAACUGAGAACUUGCUCCAAGCAAAAAGUGUUUUU